rnacentral:rRNA from 1 species
AUCUGAAAAAAGGGUCCAGAAGCAGAGCUUCCUCUUCGCCCUCCCCUCCCGACGGCGUCGCCGAAACCCUCUCCGCCGAACAGCCCCGCUGCUCCAGCCCUUCUUCCGCCGAAGCACGGGAGCCUCGAAGGCAGUAUACGACAUGGCUUCGCAUGCGUACCCUUCCAAGAGACCAUUCCAGAAGAAGUAUUCAGAACACAAUGGUCGGGCCAAGUGGCAAAAGACAAAACAUGCUCCUUCGCAGCAGCCUCAGCUGACAAUACAGCCUGGAGUUCCUCUUAUCCGCAUUCUUUGCCCUACUGAGAAAUGUGGGAAUGUUAUUGGUAAAGGUGGUAGCAUCAUUGCAAAGAUAAGGCAAGAAAACGGAGUGAAAAUCCGGGUUGAUGAAGCAGUCCCUGGUUGUGAUGAGAGAGUUAUUGUCAUAACUACCGUUGAGAAGGACAAAGAAGCUAUCCACGAGCAAGGUAAAGAGAAUGAUGGUGGUACUGCUGUUUCUGCUGAUGGCGAGCAUGAGAAGGAGAAAGACCACAGUAAGGAAGAAAAGGAUGAUUCAGAUAAUGCCCACGGCAAGGAAGAACAAGAUGAUGCAGAGAGAGAUGACAGCAAGGAAGAAAAUGAUGAUUCUUCUGUUGCAAAAACUACAAAGUUGGAGCCAGAGAGGGUAAUACCAUCAGCAAUGAACGCCGUUUUGCAUGUCUUUGAUAGGAUUUUUAUAACUGAAAGUGAAAAUGGAACUGAAGAUGCAUCAGGCCAGAAAACUCCUGUUUCUUUCAGAUUGUUGGUGCUAGAUAGCCAAGUAGGUUCGCUUUUGGGAAUUCGAGGUAGUGUGAUUAAGCAAAUGUCCGCUGAUAGUGGCUGUGAAAUCCGAGUUUCAAAGGAGAAUCUUCCUUUAUGUGCUUUACUCAAAGAUGAACUUUGUCAGAUUAAUGGAGAGCUUGACUCAGUUAAGAAAGGUCUGAAUGCAGUGGCUCAAGUGCUCUUUACUCACCCCCCUAGGGAAAGUGAUGUAGUUCCUGUUGUUCAUCCUUCUGGUUCAUCAUCACGCACCUUCGAUCGCUCAGAUGGUCUUCCUCCAGGAAUGCCACCUAACUUUCAUCUCCCUUUUCAAGGGCCAUCCCAUGCCAGGGGACCUUUUGAUACCAUUGACCAAAGGCCAAAUGUUGCACCUUUCUCAACUUUUCCUGACCAACGCUCAAACAUUCCUCCCUGUUCUGCUUUUCCUGAUGCUCUCAUGCAUGGCAACGCUUCAGUUCCCCCAGAACCUCUCACCUUCAGGCUAUUAUGUUCAAGUGACAAGGUCGGAAGUAUUAUAGGGAAGGGUGGAAACAGUAUCAAGACUAUUCAGAAAGAUACAGGUUGUGAAAUAAAUAUUCUUGAGACUAUUCCAAAGUCAGAUGAUCACAUCAUAAUCAUCUCUGGACCUGCGCAUCCAGGUGAUGGCAUUUCCCCAGCACAGAAUGCAAUUUUGCAUGUGCAGCGUAAAAUUACGCCACCCACCUCUAACAAGGAGGGUCCUGCAAUAUCUAGGCUGAUCGUUUCACCUAACCAAGUUGGCUGCCUCCUUGGCAAAGGUGGCAGUAUCAUAGCUGAAAUGAGGAAGCUGUCAAAAGCCCAUAUAAUAGUGUUGAGCAAAGACAAGAUCCCAAGGGGUGUACAAGAAAUUGAUGAAGUUGUUCAGAUAACCGGGGAUUCUGAGGCUAUUCAGGAAGCUCUGAUGCAGAUAACUGCUAGGCUACGUAACAAUCUUUUCCGGGACAGAAUGGCUUCAAUGGGUCCCAGUAUGCAGCCACCUUUUGGUUUGCUGGAUCCUCAGUUUGGUGCAUUUGCGGGAAUCCAUGAAUCUACAUCUCCUAGGAUUUAUCCUAAUGCAUCUCAGUUUCAUAAAGAUUUCAUGGGACGACCAUUGGAUGAGAUGUCUGCUCCUUGGACCACAAAGGAUGUUGGUGAUCCGAUGUCAGUAUCUGGCAUUCCUGGAAUGGCACACAGAGGAAUGGGUGGAUUUUCAGGACCUGUUCAUUCAUCUAGGCCAAUCAUAACUGGAAAUAUCAUGGUUCCAAGAUUAGUUAUACCUGCUCUAUGUGGGCAUGAUGGAGGUUGUUUGAAUAUGAUACGUGAGUUUUCAGGAGCUAAGAUAACAAUCGAGGAACCGCUGGCUGAUUCCAUGGAUACACCUGUUAUGAUAUCUGGCACACCGGAUCAGAUGCAUGCAGCCCGAAGUCUUGUUCAAGCAUUUGUUCUAAGUGAACCACCUGCCCCAUGAGAUUUCAAAUCUCUGAAGGUGAUGCAUCCCCUUCUAAUAUUUUGAUCCUUCUGGGGAGAUCAUACGCCCAGGUGAUGCUGUUUGCGUGCUGGGCAAUGAAGCUAGUAACCUUAUGUGUGUUUGAAUUUUUCAUCACUCUGUCUGCAGAGUUGCAUGCGUGAAUGGAUAAUUAUGCUGAACAAAGACUAAAAUUCCAGUGGUGGAACUUCUCUAGGUUCCUUUUAUAAUCUCCCAAAGUUGUGGCACCAGAUAUGGAAAGCAUUAUAGCUGCCUGAAUCUAUCACUUUAUGCAAGCCGUAGCUUGGGGUUGGAAAGUUUCUAACCUUUUUGUGUGAGAACCCUAUCAUACGAUGUUGUGAACUUCUAUAAAGGGAAAUAACCUAUUAGUUAUCAUUAUGAAUUUUUGUCUGACAUCUGCAUUAUUAAGUACUGACAUGACCACUAUUCGCCGGACCAAUACCCUAAUAUCUAGUAUCAAAUACUGGUAAUAGUACCUACACAUAUCUCAAAUCGUUUCCUAGUGUCCUGUAUUAAUUACUUUUAGCAAAUUCAGGCAGAACAACUAUCCCAGAGGCCUUUGCAGUGACAUAUUUAUAGUAGACUAUCAUAAGCUAUAGCAGCAAGAGCUUAAUAUAUUGCACCUGUUGGACCAAAGGGCAGUCGAGUAGUUGCUGGUAGCAUUUUUUGUUGUUGCUAUAACAUACUGCGUACAACACUGCUCUAGUGAUGGCGAACCUUGCUUGGUUUAAUAUGAGCAAGUCAAUCAUUUAAAUCUUAGGAAUGCAUGUCUUGCUGGUUAUAUGCUGUAUUUUCUAUAUUAUUUGAGGACAUUCAUUUUUAUGUAUAUGAGUAUAUCUGCAAAUUUUGUUAUGUACCGCGACGUAGGAUAUUACUAGUUCACAUAGUUACCUGCAUUACAAACAUUAUUGGUCUCAUUUGCUUUAAAUAAAUAGUAUUAUUUAUAUUUUUGAGUCACCUUCCCUUAAUGCUGUAUGUUUUUACCAUGCACAUGCUAUUUUAUAAUCUUUAUACAUGAUUUUCUACUUACUGAAUGGCGCAUCCAAUGCUUCAAACUUCUGUUGCUACUAUAUCUAAAACCUUAUGGACACUCGGACAGUUAGGUGAGUUUUAUUUCCGACCCUUCCCCGGACCCUGCGCAAGCGGGAGCUACAUGCACCGGGCUGCCCUUUAUGUAAGCUGUUCGGUGACAAAACCUCCUAUUUUCGUAGCUUUAGCUGGUAAAUCCAACAUGGUAUUGAAUUAACUGAACCUGAAUUUCACAAAUGUGAUAAAGGCAAAUUUGUAUUGCAUUAGUGCGUUAGCACUCCCAAGCAAAUUUGUACAAGAGGGACAUAGAGGGUGAUUGGUGGGCUGGCUCAUCCAUUCACUUGCAUAGCUCAUGCAGCAUGUUUUUCAAUCCCCUUAAUUGGUUGGUCAGCUUGCACUUGGUAGCCGGGCCUGACAGAUGCAAAAAGCAUUGGUGCUGGCUCCCAUGAACGGAGAAAAUGAGCCUGCUCCCAUGUCUAGACUCGAAUUGACCUCGGUUAAGUGAUUUUGAGAUGCAUCAUUCAUGAAGCCAACCAAAUAACCACCCAUAAUUUUUCACCCCUUGGCGUGUUUUUUUGUUGAAUCAGCGUAUCCUAGCCUAUGCCCCCCUGAGGCAGGCUCAGGGAAUUCACCUAUCUCUUCCCUGGGGUAACCAGUCACCCACAUAGUAUUUUGAGUAUAUGAAAAGGACCAUUUUUAUUAUAUUUUGGUUGUAGUUUCUUUCAUUCUUUUGCUUCGCGCCUACUUUGCUCGUGUUGCUUUUGAUGAUACAAAAAUGACAUUUGGUUGCUUGAUGAAUCUUAUGUUUUAAGGUCAGCAGUUUUGGUGAGUUGUCAACUGGGGUAGUUCCUUGUAGGCAGACAGUUGGUUAUCAUCUCUGCUUGGUUAUCCUUUGCUGCUAUGUUAGCAUUGGAGGCUGCAUCCUAGAAGGUAUGAAUGUUGUAGUUUUGUCUGAUUGAUUGACUUGUUUUCUCUAGAUGUAUUUUUUAUCAACGAGGCUCCCAACCUUUUUUUUAGGUUUUUGUAUUAAUUGGAGUUUCAAAUACUCAGCCUAUUGCUUGUUGAUGUUCCACUAACCUGCUUUACUUAAAUGGGAUUGACCAUUGGAAAUAAAUAGCCUUAGUGAAUAAGAAUACCUACUAAAUACUGUUAGAUGCUACACGAUUGGCUUAAUGUAUUAUCAUUCUGAAUGCCUUGGUUUGGACGGAUGGGUUGGCUACAGUUAUGACUGAUGGCUCUUAGUUUAGUUUGAUAUUGGUAAAGAUGGAAAAUUAGGAGGAUUUUAACAUUGGUAAAGAUGGAAAAUUAGGAGGAUUUUAACAGUGAUUCACUAAAGUAGUCUGUUGAUCUUGUGGUGCGAUGCAUGAGCUGGGUGUUCGUCUAGUACUUGUGUGUCCUGCUUAGCGACCACUAAACAGGGUCGAAUCCGAAUCUUGUUGGUUUUCGCUUUCAGCCCCCAAAACCGGGCGGUAUAUGGUUUACGAUAUUAAGAAGAAUUAAGCCGCCUUGGGUUACGAACCUGGGAAUAUCCAUUGCUGCUACCGGAUUUGCAGUCAUUAAUAUAUGUGCUAAGAUGUUUAUGAUGGCAUAGCCACUUUUUUUUUACAUAUGUGCGGCUUUCCAAAAUAAAUGAAAUAUAGCUGUUGAGUUUUAGGAUCAUGCCAUAUAUGUUUUCAUGCGGAUGGUCCUGAAGACGGAACAUGCAACACCUCGAAAUAUUUGUGCUUGCAACCUUGUAACAAUAAGCUGUACCUAGAAGUGUCUAUCUUAACAUUUGAAUAUGUAAUGCCUUGUAAAAAAAGGAGAAAAAACUAAAAAAUGACAUUUUUUCCCAUGUCAUGCGCUUUUGAUUUUUAAUGAUCCAGUUUCCAGCUGGUAAAUGACAACCGUGUUUCAACCAGGAAAACAAUUAAGUGGUGUGAAAUACAUAACUUGAACGGAUGAGAUUCGACUGGAGAUGAAAGCGACUGUCCUGGAAUCACUUUCAUUUUUCUAUUGGACUACGUGGACAGCUAACAACCAGUGUGAGACGAUUGUGGCCCACAAGGCCACAAGCACCAAGCUCGAUUAACGUUGCACAUUGUUUUAUUCCUGUUAUUUUUCUAGAUGGUAUUACUUACUCUUGGUACACUAAAGAACUGGACGUUUGGAUAAAAAAAAGGAUAGUUACGAGUACAAAUUGGCUACACGGAAGCGCUGUCAGCACGUCCGUACGGAUGUGAACUCCUGGUUUAUGAGCCGUUCAUUUACUGGAUCGGACGGCUGCUACUCAUUCGUUUGUGUAUACUUGUUCUAGAGGGUUAAGCAGCACUCCACAAGAUACGAGCAAUGUAGGCCGACGCAGCAUGAAGCCUCGCUUCCGGUGCAUACAUGAGCACAAACACAUUCAGACAGGCGAUGGACAUAGAAAAAUUACUACGAUAUUGUAUGAAGCUUCUAUUUUGUGGCUCAUAUGUACAACUUCCAUCCAAUGGUGGUCAAUUGUUUCUCGCUCACACAAGGGGUGGCAAAUCUAAUCCCUUUCGGCUCUAUUUUGUAGCCCAUAUUGUAUGAAGCUUCUGUUUUGUGACUCAUAUGUACAAAUUCACUCUAAUAGUGGUCAAUCGUCUUCUCCUUCUC